rnacentral:rRNA from 1 species
UACGGGGGGGGCAAGCGUUGUUCGGAAUUACUGGGCGUAAAGGGCUCGUAGGCGGCCAACUAAGUCGGACGUGAAAUCCCCAGGCUCAACCUGGGAACUGCGUCUGAUACUGGAUGGCUUGAAUCCGGGAGAGGGAUGCAGAAUUCCAGGUGUAGCGGUGAAAUGCGUAGAUAUCUGGAGGAAUACCGGUGGCGAAGGCGGCAUCCUGGACCGGCAUUGACGCUGAGACGCGAAAGCGUGGGGAGCGAACAGG